UCCAACCUGCCCACCACUUGGGGAUAACCUUGCGAAAGUAAGACUAAUACCCAAUGACGUCUCUAGAAGACAUCUGAAAGGGAUUAAAGAUUUAUCGGUGAUGGAUGGGGAUGCGUCUGAUUAGCUUGUUGGCGGGGUAACGGCCCACCAAGGCGACGAUCAGUAGGGGUUCUGAGAGGAAGGUCCCCCACAUUGGAACUGAGACACGGUCCAAACUCCUACGGGAGGCAGCAGUGAGGGAUAUUGGUCAAUGGACGAGAGUCUGAACCAGCCAAGUAGCGUGCAGGAAGACGGCCCUAUGGGUUGUAAACUGCUUUUAUAAGGGAAUAAAGUGAGUCUCGUGAGACUUUUUGCAUGUACCUUAUGAAUAAGGACCGGCUAAUUCCGUGCCAGCAGCCGCGGUAAUACGGAAGGUCCGGGCGUUAUCCGGAUUUAUUGGGUUUAAAGGGAGCGUAGGCCGGAGAUUAAGCGUGUUGUGAAAUGUAGACGCUCAACGUCUGCACUGCAGCGCGAACUGGUUUCCUUGAGUACGCACAAAGUGGGCGGAAUUCGUGGUGUAGCGGUGAAAUGCUUAGAUAUCACGAAGAACUCCGAUUGCGAAGGCAGCUCACUGGAGCGCAACUGACGCUGAAGCUCGAAAGUGCGGGUAUCGAACAGGAUUAGAUACCCUGGUAGUCCGCACGGUAAACGAUGGAUGCCCGCUGUUGGUCUGAAUAGGUCAGCGGCCAAGCGAAAGCAUUAAGCAUCCCACCUGGGGAGUAC
rnacentral:rRNA from 1 species